UCUCCACUCCUUCUGGGAACUCCACCUGGUUCAACCUGCCUGCCUCCACUCCUGCCUCCACCAUGUCCAUCAGGGUGACCCAGAAGUCCUGCAGAGUGUCCACUUCUGGCCCUCUGGCCUUCAGCAGCCAUUUCUACACAAGUGGGCCUGGUGCCUGCAUCAGCUCCUCGAGCUUCUCCCGAGUGGGCAGCUUCCGGGGUAGCCUGGGAGGAGGCUAUGGUGGGGCCAGUGGCAUGGGAGGCAUCACCACUGUCACUGUCAACCAGAGCCUGCUGAGCCCCCUUAACCUGGAGGUGGACCCCAACAUCCAGGCAGUGCACACUCAGAAGAAGGAGCAGAUCAAGACCCUCAACAACAAGUUUGCCUCCUUCAUAUACAAGGUACAGUUCCUGGAGCAGCAAAGCAAGAUGCUGGAGACCAAGUGGAGCCUCCUGCAGCAGCAGAAGAUGGCUCGGAGCAACAUGGACAACAUGUUCCAGAGCUACAUCAACAACCUUAGGCGGCAGCUGGAGACUCUGGGCCAGGAAAAGCUGAAGCUAGAGGCGGAGCUUGGCAACAUGCAGGGGCUGGUGGAGGACUUCAAGAACAAGUAUGAGGAUGAGAUCAAUAAGCGUACAGAGAUGGAGAAUGAAUUUGUCCUCAUCAAGAAGGAUGUGGAUGAAGCUUGCAUGAACAAGGUAGAGCUGGAGUCUCGCCUGGAAGGGCUGACAGACGAAAUCAACUUCCUCAGGCAGCUGUAUGAAGAGGAUAGCCCGGAGCUGCAGUCCCGGGCUAUGUCUGUGGUGCUGUCCAUGGACAACAACCACUCCCUGGACGUGGACAGCAUCAUCAAUGAGGUCAAGCGCAGUACGAGGUCACCAGCCACAGCCGGGUUGAGGCCGAGAGCAUGUAUCAGAUCAAGUAUGAGUAGCUGCAGACGCUGGCUGGGAAGCACGGGGAUGACCUGCAGCAUACAAAGACUGAGAUCUCCGCGAUGAACCGGAACAUCAGCCGGCUCCAGGCUGAGAUUGAGGGUCUCAAAGGCCAGAGGGCUUCCCUGGAGGCCGCCAUCGCAGAUGCGGAGCAGCGCAGGGAGUUGGCUGUUAAGGAUGCCAGCGCCAAGCUGUCUGAGCUGGAGGCCGCCCUGCAGCAAGCCAAGCAGGACAUGGUGCGGCAGCUGCAUUAGUACCAGGAGCUGAUGAACGUCAAGCUGGCCCUGGACAUCGAGAUCGCCACCUACAGGAAGCUGCUGGAGGGCGAGGAGAGCUGGCUGGAGUCUGGGAUGCAGAGCAUGAGUAUCCAUAGGAAGACCGCCAGCAGCUAUGCAGGUGGUCUGAGCUCGGCCUAUGGGGGCCUCACAAGUCCCGGCCUCAGCUAUGGACUGGGCUCCAGCUUUGGCUCUGGCGCGGGCUCCAGUUCCUUCAGCUGCACCAGCUACACCAGGGCCGUGGUUAUGAAGAAGAUUGAGACCCGUGAUGGGACGCUGGUGUCAGAGUCCUCUGACGUCCUGCCCAAGUGA